rnacentral:rRNA from 1 species
AAUAAACGCUAGCGGCGUGCAUAACACAUGCAAGUCGAACGAAAAUUAUUUUGUAAUGAGUAGCUUGCUACAAGUUAUAGAAUAAUUUUAGUGGCAAACGGGUGAGUAAUACAUGGAUAAUUUCCUUUCAGAGAGGGACAACUUCGGGAAACUGAAGUUAAUACCGCAUAUUGCCGGUUUCCGGAUUUACGGAUUCUGGUGAAAGAUAGCAAUAUCGCUGAGAGAUAAGUCCAUGCCUGAUUAGCUAGUUGGCAGGGUAACGGCCUACCAAGGCAACGAUCAGUAGGGGCGCUGAAAGGCGGACCCCCCACACUGGAACUGAGAAACGGUCCAGACUCCUACGGGAGGCAGCAGUGAGGAAUUUUGCGCAAUGCUCGAAAGAGUGACGCAGCGACGCCGCGUGAAUGAUGAAGUUCUUCGGAAUGUAAAAUUCUGUCAGAUGGGACGAAUACCUUAAUUGGUUUGACUGUACCGUCAGAGGAAGCACCGGCUAAUCCCGUGCCAGCAGCCGCGGUAAUACGGGAGGUGCGAGCGUUAUUCGGAUUUACUAGGCGUAAAGGGUGUGUAGGUGGUCGUUUAAGUCGGAUGUGAAAUCUUUGGGCUUAACCCAAAAACUGCAUUUGAUACUGAUCGACUUGAGUAUAGGAGAGGAGAAUAGAAUUCCUGGUGGAGCGGUGAAAUGUGUAGAUAUCAGGAAGAAUAUCUGUGGCGAAGGCGAUUCUCUGGCCUAUUACUGACACUGAAACACGAGAGCGUGGGGAGCAAACAGGAUUAGAUACCCUGGUAGUCCACGCCGUAAACGAUGUGCAUUAGGUGUAGGAGGUAUUCAAUCCUUCUGUACCGCAACUAACGCGUUAAAUGCACCGCCUGGGGAGUACGGCCGCAAGGCUGAAACUCAAAGGAAUUGACGGGGGCCCGCACAAGCGGUGGAGCAUGUGGUUUAAUUCGAUGCAACGCGAGGAACCUUACCUAGGCUUGACAUAUAUCCGAAUAUAUUAGAAAUAAUAUAGUCCAGCAAUGGACGGAUAAACAGGUGCUGCAUGGCUGUCGUCAGCUCGUGUCGUGAGAUGUUGGGUUAAGUCCCACAACGAGCGCAACCCCUGUUCUUAGUUACCAUCUUCUGAGUAAUCAGAGAGGGACUCUAAGGAGACUGCCCUGGAUAACAGGGAGGAAGGCAGGGACGACGUCAAGUCAUCAUGGCCUUUAUGCUUAGGGCCACACACGUGCUACAAUGGCCUAUACAGAGGGUUGCAGGAUCGAGAGAUUGAGCUAAUCCCUAAAAUAGGUCCCAGUUCGGAUUGAAAGCUGCAAUUCGCCUUCAUGAAGUCGGAAUCGCUAGUAAUCGUAAAUCAGAACGUUACGGUGAAUACGUUCCCGGGCCUUGUACACACCGCCCGUCACACCACGAGAAUUGAUUGAACUAGAAGUCACUCGAGAUAGUUUGCUUGCAAAUUAUCAAGGUGCCUAAGGUACGAUUAGUGAUUGGGGUG